CCUACGGGUGGCAGCAGUGAGGAAUAUUGGUCAAUGGCCGGAAUGCUGAACCAGCCAAGCCGCGUGAGGGACGAAGGUGCCACGCAUUGUACACUUCUUUUGUCAAGUGACAAAAUCAGGCUCGAGCGCCUGUCCGAGGGUACUUGCAGAAAAAGCAUCGGCUAACUCCUGGCCAGCAGCCGCGUUAAUCCGGAGGAUGCGAGCGUUAUCCGGAUUUAUUGGGUUUAAAGGGUGCGUAGGCGGCUUGUUAAGUCAGAGGGAAAAGCCCGGGUCUCCCCCCCGGCGAGCCGUUGAAACUGGCAGUGUUGAGUGGUCGAGAGGUAGGCGGAAUGCGCAGUGUAGCGGUGAAAUGCUUAGAUAUCGCGCAGAAC
rnacentral:rRNA from 1 species